CAUCCAGCGAACUUGGCAGAGAUGCCUUGGUGCCUUCGGGAACGCUGAGACAGGUGCUGCAUGGCUGUCGUCAGCUCGUGUUGUGAAAUGUUGGGUUAAGUCCCGCAACGAGCGCAACCCUUUAUCCUUUGUUGCCAGCGAUUCGGUCGGGAACUCAAAGGAGACUGCCGGUGAUAAACCGGAGGAAGGUGGGGAUGACGUCAAGUCAUCAUGGCCCUUACGAGUAGGGCUACACACGUGCUACAAUGGCGCAUACAAAGAGAAGCGACCUCGCGAGAGCAAGCGGGACCUCAUAAAGUGCGUCGUAGUCCGGAUCGGAGUCUGCAACUCGACUCCGUGAAGUCGGAAUCGCUAGUAAUCGUGGAUCAGAAUGCCACGGUGAAUACGUUCCCGGGCCUUGUACACACCGCCCGUCACACCAUGGGAGUGGGUUGCAAAAGAAGUAGGUAGCUUAACCCUCGGGAGGGCGCUUACCACUUUGUGAUUCAUGACUGGGGUGAAGUCGUAACAAGGUAGGCGUAGCGAG
rnacentral:rRNA from 1 species